CCAAGGAGUCUAGCGUGUGCGCGAGUCAUUGGGUGAAAAACCUAAAGGCGCAAUGAAAGUGUCAGUGGUGGGCAUCCCACGGGAUGCCCCCCGUAGGGAGGAUGGGCUGCCCGGCGUUCCACGCCGGCUCCCCGCACUCCCGGGGCGUCUCGUUCUCAUUGCGAGUGGAGACGCACCAGGAGCGCACACGCUGGUACCCGAAAGAUGGUGAACUAUGCCUGGCCAGGACGAAGCCAGGGGAAACCCUGGUGGAGGUCCGAAGCGAUUCUGACGUGCAAAUCGAUCGUCUGAGCUGGGUAUAGGGGCGAAAGACCAAUCGAACCAUCUACGGGUUGAGACGAGUCUCAUCCGGUAGAGCGAAUGAUUAGAGGUGAUGGGGUCGAAACGACUUCAACCUAUUCUCAAACUCCCAAUAGAUGAGAGCCCCGGCUUGCUUGAAAGUGAAGCCGCGGGAUUCGGAUCAGAGAUGCCAAGUGGGCCAAUUUUGUAGCUGGUUCCCUCUGAAGUUUCCCUCAGGAUAGCUGGCUCU
rnacentral:rRNA from 1 species